rnacentral:lncRNA from 1 species
AUGGGAGGGCACAGGGCCGGGCACCUGCUGUCACCACCGGGGCCCGUGGGUGAAUGGGAGGGCACAGGGCCGGGCCCCCUGCUGCUGCUGCUGCGCUGGGGGUUGCUCAGGUUGCCGACUGCAGAGGGGCCGCCCUGCUGGUUUCCUGGGAAGGGGCCGGCCUCUCCCUCCCUCCCACGGCUGAGCCCUCCUGUCUCCCACAGAACCCUGGCAGUGACCCUGGGGGUGGCCGUGGCUUUGCUCGUUCCUGACUUUACUGGAAUAUUCUGGGUUCUGGGCAGGGACCGUGUGUGUGCGUGGGGCUGGCGGUCAGGCGGCAGAGACAGAGAAGCUGGGCUCAGAAGGCCGUGGCCGGGGGUCUCCCUGCCGCCCUGUGGCUCCGGGGGCCGGGUAUGGUUGUGCCUUGGGGCAGCAGGACGGGCUCCUGGGAGCACUCGGGGAUCCUCAGGCGUGGGGGGAGGAGCAGAGAGAGGGACGUGGCAGGAGCGAGAGCAGGUGCCUGCCCUCGCCUGGUCCCCUGGCUCCCCAGGCCUGGGCGACCAGGCCCACCAGGCACCCAGUCCCCCCUCGGUGGCAGCCCAGGCGCUGUCCGUCUUGGAGCCCAGCCGUGAGGAGCUACAGCUGGUGUGUGUGCAGCAGGGGCCAAGGCGGAGGUGCCGCAGGCUGGGCCACAGUGGCCUCGCCCAGGCGCCUCCGCACCUCAGGAGCCCUGAGCGUGCCCGGCCCAGGCGCUUCUGCUGUUGGCCACCCAGCCUGGGCCCCACAGGCUCCCGUGGGUCAGCGCGGCAGCCAGGGCAGGGCGGGGCUGGAGGGAGCAGGUCCUGGGGCCUUCCCUGCUCCAGGCCCAGCCUGCUGUGGCUCCUGCCUGGUGAGAGUUCACCCACAGGGGGACAGAGCUGGGCUAGGCCUCCCGCUCCGGCCGUUCUGCUGGAAGUGGAGGGGCCGUGUGCCCGGGGCCUUCUGUUUCCAGGGCAGAAAACCCCUGCCAUUUCUUUGUCAGUUUGGUUUCCCAGCUCAGGCCACACCCAGAAGAGGGAGGUGGGGCACCAGGGCACCAGGGCACCAGGACCUGGGGCACCCACCCAGCCCCCAAAGCGGCCUCGGCACAGUGGCUCCAGGAAGCGGGUGGGCCCGUACCCCCGUGUGCCGGCCGGCAGCGCCUCAGCCUGGACAGCAGUGGCCAGCCCUGUGUGCACCCUCACGCCCUGCCCACGAGCUCCCGGGCUCAGUGCCUUGCUUUGA